rnacentral:rRNA from 1 species
CCUACGGGUGGCAGCAGUGGGGAAUAUUGGACAAUGGGGGAAACCCUGAUCCAGCGACGCCGCGUGAGUGAAGAAGGAUUUCGGUACGUAAAGCUCUAUCAGCAGGAAAGAAAAUGACGGUACCUGACUAAGAAGCCACGGAUAACUACGUGCCAGCCGCCGGGGUAAUACGUAGGGGGCAAGCGUUAUCCGGAUUUACUGGGUGUAAAGGGAGCGUAGAGGGGAGCGCAAGUCUGGAGUGAAAUGCCGGGGCCCAACCCCGGAACUGUACUGGAAACUGUGAAGCUGGAGUGCAGGAGAGGGAAGCGGAAUUCGGGGUGUAGCGGUGAAAUGCGUAGAUAUCAGGAGGAACAGCGGCGGCGAAGGCGGCUUAAUGGACUGUAACUGACGUUGAGGCUCGAAGGCGUGGGGAGCAAACAGGAUUAGAUACUAGUAGUC